rnacentral:misc_RNA from 1 species
UAAUUAUAAGAAUCUCAAAACAGAAAAGUAAUUUUUUUAAAUUACUUUUUUCAUAAUAUUUAAAAUAGUAUUUUUUAUUUAAAGUGAUUUUAGAUCAACUUUUUAAUCAUAAACACAACUAGAAACGGCAUAAUCUCACUAGAAAAAAGAAAAAAAAAUCCUCAUAAAAGAAAUUAUAUAACAGUAUUAGAAACCCAUAUAUAUAAUAUCUGAAAGUUGAAUGAGCAUGAAAGCCUAGAGCUCAAUCUUGAUGAAGACUUUGGUAGCCCUCUACCUAUCUCCUUCGUGCUUCACAAGACUUUGAUUUCUUCUACUUUGCUCAACAGUGGCCAAGUUCAUACUGUGAUACAAAGCAAAGUUGCUGCUACCCAGCCACUCGAAAACCUGGUGCUGAUUUUGGCAUGCACGGGCCUUGGCCUAAUAAUUACAAGGAUGGGAAUUACCCUUUAAAUUGUGAUACCGGCAAUUCCUUCAAUCAAAAUAAGGUAAUUCCCUAUUAUAUUAUCAUAUAUAUAUGUAUAUUGAACUCUAUUGAGUGUAGUGAUUCUACAUGAUGAACUAUUUACAGUGCAUAACUUUUUUGUUAAAAAAUUUUUAUGUUUCAUUAU